AUACGGAGGGUGCAAGCGUUACUCGGAAUCACUGGGCGUAAAGCGCGCGCAGGCGGCUUGAUAAGUUGGAUGUGAAAGCCUACGGCUCAACCGUAGAACUGCAUCCAAAACUGUCAAGCUAGAGUCUGGGAGGGGAAGAUGGAAUUAGUUGUGUAGGGGUAAAAUCCGUAGAGAUAACUAGGAAUACCAAAAGCGAAGGCGAUCUUCUGGAACAGUACUGACGCUGAGGCGCGAAAGCGUGCGGAGCAAACAGGAUUAGAAACCCGAGUAGUCC
rnacentral:rRNA from 1 species